rnacentral:lncRNA from 1 species
AGCCUUUUGAGUUAUUGCCUGAAAGAUUGGAUUUUUUUGGGAGUCCUUCAUCUCAGAAUUACCCUCAACUAACUUUGUAUUGAUCUAGUUAAUAGUUAUCGUAUUCCUCAUUUGAGGCUUAUAACCUAAAGGAUACCCAUGAUGCUUAUAGCACUUAUCAACAAUGUGACCAACCAGACCAUAGUAUCUGUCCUCCAGUAAUUCUUUUAUUCUGUCCACUAUUAUUCUUAUACUAUUGGUUAGAAUUCACAUAAAACUUAUUAGACUCAUACGAGGAUCCCAAGGGUGCAACAUUAACACUUCUCUCAUGUUGUACCACUAGGACAAAUACCUUUUCCAAUGCUGGUAAAGGCUCCAUCAUGAGGAUUUGUGUCUUAACAACAUUGUAGGACUCAUUAAGUCAUUUGAGGAACCUUUUAAUCUUGUCCUCCUCAUGAUAUUUUCUAUACACAUCACCUACUCUGCUUAUACACUGUAUAUGGCACAACAUGCAAGUACAGGCCAUAGAUUAGCUAGUUCAUCCCAAAAAAUCUUAAUUUGAGUAAACUAUUUAGUUAUAGAUUGUGUGCCUUAUUUAUCGAAGAAAUCUCAUCUUGUAAAUCACUAAUUCAGACUCAGUCGCCUUGAGUGAACCUAUCAUGUAAGCCCUUCCAAAGGUCUUUGGCAUAAUCAAUAAAGAUUACACUCUGAGUGAUUGAGGGAGAUAAUGAUCGCAUUAUCCAUGCAAUUAUAAUUGCAUUAUAACGUACGAAGGAUCAUCCUUCAAUGGAAUAAGAAUAGUUCCAUCCAUAAAUUGCAAUUUAUUCUUAGAAAUCAACACACAUUUCAUAGAACGCGCCUAAGUAUCGUAAUUAUUACCUGUAAGGAAGGUUGUUGUGAGUAGAAACGACAGACUUUUAUUUGGAUGCAGGUAGUAGGUAUUUGUAUGUGCCUCGUCUAGUCUUCACUAUAUCAGAAACAAUUAGAGCAUCCAUGAUUUUCUAAUUAACAAAUAGGAAAGAAUGACUCAUGCGAGUCUAGU